rnacentral:tRNA from 1 species
GCCGCAGUAGCUCAGUGGUAGAGCGCACCCUUGGUAAGGGUGAGGUCGAAAGUUCAAUCCUUUCCUGCGGCACCA